CGAGUGGGCCGGAUGAUGGCGACACGGCGGGUAUCCUCCGUGCCGAGGAAAGUCCGGGCUUCACAGGGCAGGAUGACGGAUAACGUCCGCCCGGGGUGACCCGCGGGAUAGCGCAACAGAGAACAGACCGCUGUGAGAAUGGCUAUUGCUGUUUUUACAGUAAGGGUGAAACGGCAGUGUAAGAGACUACCGCGUCUUUGGCAACAAAGACGGCACGGCAAGCCCCAUCCGAAGCAAGAUCAAGCAGGAGACCAUAGACCGGCCCGGUCUGUCUUCAGGUAGAUCGCUCGAGCUGUACGGUAACGUGCAGCCUAGAUAGAUCAUCAUCAUCGGACUACCGAUACAUAACCCGGCUUACAGGCCCACUCCUCAG
rnacentral:RNase_P_RNA from 1 species